UAUGGUUUGAUUUGGUUUUGGUGUCCUAUUUCUUCAUAAAUUUUGGUAAAUUUUUAAAAUUUCAUAUUAAAGCAAAAUGCAUAGACUAAUAUGGCAAAUACAAUUUUUCUUCUUUCUUAUCUCUUUUUUCUUCAGGUUAAAGGUGUGACAGAUUCAAAAUUCUACAUUCCAAGAAUAACCCCCAGUGCCCGUCAACUUCUUUUGAGAACCAAUCAACCUGGCAACUUGUGGAAGUGAGGUGAGACUGCCCCUUGCUGUUAUUUUGAUGAUUUCCCAUAUUCUUAUAUUCUCUUUCUUUUUGCUAUUUUCCCCAUGAUCUCUAUGCUAAAAUCCUGAUACUGACUGUCCUUUAGCUAAAGGUUUUAUAUUUAACAUAUUUUACAUAUGUCUCUACUUCCUCUAAAUUUUUAAUUUCUUCACAGGUACAGUGUUCUUUCCAUAGUUAGAAGAAGCAUCUUGAUUGAAAAUAUACUUCUAAUCUCCUGCUACUUGCUGAUGAAAUAUUUGAUGUGUGAAAACUUUCCUUAGUUUUAAAAGUGUUAAAUAUCCUUCUAAUCUACUGAUCCAAAUAACCCCAAGUGUCCAUUUGCUUUGCUUGAAUUAUCAAAGUGUGGUCACAGUCUGACUCAGUGGCACACAGUUCUUACCAUUCUCUGGUUUGGGAAAUACAUUUUUUUAGUGGUGAAAGCUGAUGCAGAUGCCCCCCCAAAAAUAGGGUUUUCUUGACCAUGAAUUUUGUGAAAAAAAUAUCAUAAAGAAUUCAUUCAUGAGGGAUUUAUUCCUUCACCAAAUAUUUACUGAGUGUUAGACCAUAUGCUAAAAACUGAUUAAGGUACUUGGAAUAUAGCAAUAAAAUAAACUAACCAAACAAGCAGCCAUCCA
rnacentral:lncRNA from 1 species